rnacentral:tRNA from 1 species
AAUAAGAUGCCUGACUCUAAUAGGACUAUUUUGAUAGAAUAGAAUAUGUAUAAUUAAUUUAUACUCUUAUUA